rnacentral:lncRNA from 1 species
ACCAUGAAGGGAGUUCAACUCUGUAUGCAACUCUUCCAAUCCUCUUCACAAUGGGUAAUGGUCCAAUGUAUUUUGGUGACAAUCUUGAGUCCUUCCCUCUUGUUGGUUUGUAAACAUUUCUGUCGGGAAGCUUAACCAUUACUAGAUCUCCAACAUUGAAUUCAAUAAAACGGCGCUAUAGAUCUGCAGCCUUUUUAUACCGUUUUUGAGCUUUUUCAAGAUAACUCCGAGCAAUUUCAAUAUUUCGUUUCCACUCUUGAGAAAAGCUCUUUGCUUGAGGGGACUUGGUACUUCGUUCAAUAUCCACUGUAUGAGGGAGUAGCGGUUGCUGGCCAGUAACAAUC